CUUAGGCCUAGGCCAAAGCCCCUCGAAGUCAAUGGGAGCUUGUCUUUUGACCUCAGUGGGCUUUGGAUUCACUCCUAUUA
rnacentral:miRNA from 1 species